UGGCAUGCUAAUAAAGCCUGUGGAGUGCUUUCACCUGCAAGGAAGCAGCAGAUGAAGUAGCAGAAGGACUGACAUUUUGACAAGUUCCGUGCUUUGAUACGGGCUUGAGUGCAGUGGAUGAGACACCUGAUUUCUGCUGUCUUACAGGAAUGGAGGCCCAGAAGAGCCAAACACCAGCAGAAGAUGGGUAAUUGAGCACAAGAUGAAACAAAGGAAUAGCUUUAUGUGUGCAAACCAAAAAUUCACUGGCUGGCCCAAGCGUGGGAGUGACAAAGGCACAGCCAGGAGUCUUGAGUUAUCCAACGUCGCUGCUCAUUGAUGCUCACUGCUGCUCGUUUCUCUUACGGAUGGCCACUCCCUCAGCAGCU